rnacentral:tRNA from 1 species
GCCUGGGUGGCUCAGUUGGUUAAGCGUCUGACUUCGGCUUAGGUCAUGAUCUCACGGUUCGUGGGUUCGAGUCCCACGUCGGGCU